UACAGAGGUCUCAAGCGUUGUUCGGAUUCAUUGGGCGUAAAGGGUGCGUAGGCGGCGCGGUAAGUCGGGUGUGAAAUCUCGGAGCUUAACUCCGAAACUGCAUUCGAUACUGCCGUGCUUGAGGACUGGAGAGGAGACUGGAAUUUACGGUGUAGCGGUGAAAUGCGUAGAUAUCGUAAGGAAGACCAGUGGCGAAGGCGGGUCUCUGGACAGUUCCUGACACUGAGACACGAAGGCCAGGGGAGCAAAACGGGG
rnacentral:rRNA from 1 species